CCGUGAGGGUUGGGUUAAGUCCGCAACGAGCGCAACCCUAUUGUUAGUUGCCAUCACAUAAUGGUGGGCACUCUAAUGAGACUGCCCGGGUCAACCGGGAGGAAGGUGGGGACGACGUCAAGUCAUCAUGGCCCUUACGCCUAGGGCUACACACGUACUACAAUGGUGCAUACAAAGGGUUGCGAAACCGCGAGGUCAAGCCAAUCCCAAAAAAUGCAUCCCAGUCCGGAUCGGAGUCUGCAACUCGACUCCGUGAAGUUGGAAUCGCUAGUAAUCCCGGAUCAGCAUGCCGGGGUGAAUACGUUCCCGGGCCUUGUACACACCGCCCGUCACACCACGAAAGCUGGUUCUACCCGACAACGGCGGACUAACCCUUCGGGAGGUAGUCGUCUACGGUAGGGCUGGUGAUUGGGGUGAAGUCGUAACAAGGUACCA
rnacentral:rRNA from 1 species